rnacentral:rRNA from 1 species
UAGGGAAUCUUCCGCAAUGGGCGAAAGCUUGACGGAGCAACGCCGCGUGAGUGAUGAAGGUCUUCGGAUCGUAAAACUCUGUUAUUAGGGAAGAACAAAUGUGUAAGUAACUAUGCACGUCUUGACGGUACCUAAUCAGAAAGCCACGGCUAACUACGUGCCAGCAGCCGCGGUAAUACGUAGGUGGCAAGCGUUAUCCGGAAUUAUUGGGCGUAAAGCGCGCGUAGGCGGUUUUUUAAGUCUGAUGUGAAAGCCCACGGCUCAACCGUGGAGGGUCAUUGAAAACUGGAAAACUUGAGUGCAGAAGAGGAAAGUGGAAUUCCAUGUGUAGCGGUGAAAUGCGCAGAGAUAUGGAGGAACACCAGUGGCGAAGGCGACUUUCUGGUCUGUAACUGACGCUGAUGUGCGAAAGCGUGGGGAUCAAACAGG